GAUGAACGCUGGCGGCGUGCCUAAUACAUGCAAGUCGAGCGAACGGACGAGAAGCUUGCUUCUCUGAUGUUAGCGGCGGACGGGUGAGUAACACGUGGAUAACCUACCUAUAAGACUGGGAUAACUUCGGGAAACCGGAGCUAAUACCGGAUAAUAUUUUGAACCGCAUGGUUCAAAAGUGAAAGACGGUCUUGCUGUCACUUAUAGAUGGAUCCGCGCUGCAUAGCUAGUUGGUAAGGUAACGGCUUACCAAGGCAACGAUGCAUAGCCGACCUGAGAGGGUGAUCGGCCACACUGGAACUGAGACACGGUCCAGACUCCUACGGGAGGCAGCAGUAGGGAAUCUUCCGCAAUGGGCGAAAGCCUGACGGAGCAACGCCGCGUGAGUGAUGAAGGUCUUCGGAUCGUAAAACUCUGUUAUUAGGGAAGAACAUAUGUGUAAGUAACUGUGCACAUCUUGACGGUACCUAAUCAGAAAGCCACGGCUAACUACGUG
rnacentral:rRNA from 1 species